UGAAACCCGAAAUAAGGUGUAUGGCAACAUAAGCAACCAGAAUAUGCAAACAAUCUACCCUCGCCCCAUACGAAACCCUAAAGCCCCAAUUCUCGUUGGUUCGAUUCAGUUUCAGAUUACAACAAUUCAAACAAUGGAAUAAAAUACAAAAACACGCAUAAACAACAAUGGAAUCGAAGAGACUAAAGGCUACCACGAAGAAAUUUGAUUUGAAACCAGGCAGCCACCUAGAGAGGACAUGGCAAGAUUUUUUGUCUUGUUUUGUGGACAACAAAGUCUUGGAUGAAGAUUGGUACGAAGAAGGAAAGAUCGAAGCUUGAAAUCGUGGCAUGAACUACUUGAGAGAUUGGAAAAAGAUGCUUGGAGGUGAAGCUUUGGUUGGAAGCUUGAAGAUUAAGAAAAAGAAGUGUUCAUGGUGUUAAUGUUUGAAAACCGAAUUUGGCAUGAAUUUUUGAAAAGCUUUGUAAUUUUGCUAGCUUUAGAAUACACCUCUUUUGUAAUUCAAAUUGAAUCCAAUUUUAAAAUUUUGAAUUUUUGAGGGAAUGACACACUUUUAGCAUUCUUACAAAUCUUGGACUUAUUCUUGUAUCAAGUGACAUUUGUAACUUAAAUUUUGGAUGAAACUUGAAUUUCCAUGUGAAGUUAAUUUGAUGAACUUGUAUCUUAAAGUUUGUACCAAAUUCUUGAAUUGAACAAGAACUUUUUCUUUAGAAAUGGUCCUUGUAUAAUUGAUGAACUUUCGUGAACUUCACUUGAAGAAUAUUUGUAAACUUGAAUGGAAUUGAAAUCAAUGACCUUGUUCAAAUGAGUCAUCAAAUCUUCUUCACUAAGACCCUAAUUCCUAAUCUCCAACAUGGUCAACUCGCCAAUGAAUCUUCAAAUUC